GGCAGUGGUGUCAACCCACACAUAGGACUAGUUUGGGAAAAAACGGAGGUGGUUGAAGGGUUAAAAUCUCCUUAUUUAAAAAUAAAGAAGAGAAUUUUAGUGCUGCAUUGCCCUUACACGGUGUCUAACAUCUGCUUGUGGACUUUGACUCGUACUUCAGCGACCCGAGCCCCCGACAAUCCCUCGCCGAAUUCCAGAAUCCAGAGCAAGGGUAUCACCUCGACCUCAGUUACUGAUCGGAGCCGCUCCUGGCGCUUGGUUUCUAUUGGAUGCGGAUCAAUGCAUUUCAACACUGAGAAGAAGCCAACAGUUCAAUGGCAGAGGGUGUUGUUGGCAUCCUUAUUCUGAAGCUUGGUUCAGCCUUGUUUUUAGAGGCUUGCAGGCUUGGCACAAAACAGCUCUACCAUGAAGCUUCAGCCCUUGGCAGGCUCUUUGGUGAGAUCCGUGAUAUCAAGGAGGAAUUGGAGAGCAUGCAAUCUUUUCUACAAGGAGCUGAGAGAUUCAAAGAUACUGACAACAACACUGCCAACUUUAUCAAGAAGAUUCGUGGCCUUGCUUUCGACAUUGAAGAUGUUAUCGAUGAGUUUAUCUACAAGAUGGAGGACAAGCAUGGCAGUUUUGCUACAAAGAUGAAUCGUCGGAUUAAUCGUAUUUGGACAUGGCGACGUCUCACGUCCAAAUUGCAAAAGAUCAAACUGAAACUAGAGAAUGUUGAUAAGAGAAAUGUUCGAUAUGACAUGAGAGGAAUUGCUAGAGAAGAUGGAAGCAGUGAUGCUCAUCAUAGAUCUACCGACCAGAUUUCUUACUUCCCCAAAGAGGAAAAUCUUGUGGGCAUUGAUGAAAACAAGGAGUUAUUGAUGAAUUGGCUAAGGGGUGAUCUACAUCAGCAAAGUGUAAUUACAACAGUAUGGGGGAUGGGGGGAGUUGGCAAGACCACUUUGGUUGCACAUGUUUACAACACUGUGAAGGUAGACUUUGACAGUGCUGCAUGGAUAACUGUUUCAAAAGCUUACCAAGUGGAGGACUUGCUGAAGCAGAUCAUCAGGGGAUUUCAGAAAAGUGAUUUGAAGGGUGAACUUCGUGUUGACAUAAUUGACAUGGAAAAGAGAAGCCUAGUUGAGAUCAUCCGUGAUUAUUUGCAUGGCAAAAGCUAUGUUUUAGUGCUAGAUGACGUCUGGGGUGUUGACAUCUGGUUCAAGAUAAGAGAUGCUUUUCCUACCAAUAGCACUAGCAGGUUUAUUAUUACAUCGAGGAUACAUGAAGUAGCAUUGCUGGCUAAUGGAAAUUGCAUAAUUGAGUUGAAGCCACUAGAGGCACACCAUUCAUGGGAGUUAUUUUGUAAAGAGGCCUUCUGGAAAAAUGAAAACAAAAUGUGCCUGCUGGAACUUAAUAAUUUGGCACAAAGAUUUGUUGACAAGUGUAACGGGCUGCCCAUUGCCAUUGCAUGUGUAGGCCGUCUUUUGUCUUGCAGAAGCCCAACCUACUCUGAUUGGGAAAGCUUUUUCAAGGAACUAGAGUUGCAGAUGACAAAUAAUGUGAUUCUUAAUGUUAAUGUUCUUCUAAAGGUUAGUUUAGAGGAUCUUCCAUAUAUUUUAAAGAACUGCUUUUUGCACUGUACAAUAUUUCCCGAGGAUCAUUUGAUCAAAAGGAAAAGGUUAAUUAGGCACUGGGUAGCAGAGGGAUUCAUCAGAGAAACAGAGCACAAAACAAUGGAGGAAGUGGCAGAGGGCUAUUUGUAUGAACUUGUCAAUCGUAGCCUAUUACAAGUAGUGGAGAGAAAUGAAAGUGGACGAGUGCAGAGUUGCCGAAUGCAUGAUAUUAUUCGACUUCUUGCUCUGACAAAAGCAAAUGAGGAAGGCUUCUGUAAAGUUUAUGAUGGCAUGGGGAGUUAUUCAGCAGAAAAGACACGUCGUUUAUCGAUUCACAGUGCAAAUAUUAAGUUGUCGACUCAACCAACAAAGCUUACAGUCCGCUCAAUAUAUGUUUUUAGUAAUGGUUUGACUAUUGAAUCACUUAGGUCUUUCUUGAAACAUUUCUACUUGCUGUCAACUCUAGAUCUCCAGGGUGCCCAGAUUGUGGAGCUGCCAGAUGAGGUUUUCAACUUGUUUAAUCUACGGUUUCUCAGCCUUCGAAAUACUGAGGUUACGAAUAUCCCCAGCACAGUUGGAAGAUUACAAAAACUUGAAGUCUUGGAUGUUUAUAAUGCUAAACUGUUGGCUUUGCCAGAGAGUGUUUCGAAGCUUAGAAAAUUGAGAUAUCUACAUGUAGCUACUGUUCCAAAGAUAAAUACUAAAGGGGUUGUGACCUGGAUUGGAAUCCAGGUGCCUAAAAGCAUCAAAUACCUGACAGGCUUGCAAACCUUGAGGCUUGUUGAGGCGAGCUCAGAGACUUUAUUUCACCUUGGUGCUUUGACACAGUUGAGAACUUUUGCCAUCACAAAUGUGCAGAGGGAUCAGUGUGCCGAUUUGUGCACUGUUAUAAUGAGCAUGAAGCAUCUUGUUAGCUUAGCAAUUAUGGCUAUAAGUGAGGAGGAAAUACUUCAACUUGAAGAACUUUGUUUACCCCCAACUCUUUCAAAGCUUGAAUUAGGAGGGCAGCUGGACAAGAAAGCAAUGCCCCAGAUUGUAUCAUCCUUUUCAGAUCUUGGUAACCUCACCUUAUUGGCCUUGGCAUUCUCCAAACUUGAUGAGGACUCAUUUUCAUGCCUCUUGACGUUGCAUGGUCUACGUGGGCUUUGGGUUGAUAAGGCUUAUGAAGGGAAGAGGCUUCACUUUAAUGCUAUGUCUUUUCCAAAUCUUCGACAGCUUGCAAUAUCAGAUGCACCGCAGCUCAACAGCGUUGUAAUCGAACGAAGCGCACUGCAAAGCCUUGUUCAGCUGACACUUGUAGAUUGUCCAGAACUGAAGGCCCUGCCUGAUGGCAUUGAGCAUCUUAGAACACUUGAGAAAUUAUAUCUGCGAGGAGCAUCCAAAGAGCUCACAAAGCUAUUUCAGUGCAAUGAAGAAACACAUGAGUCCAAUGGGAAUCUUGAGAAGAUCGGUCAUAUCCGAAGGGUUACUGUUUAUCCAUAAGGGUUUGAUUGGGAGUAAGGGUAAUGGGGAGGAUUGAAGGGGCUAGAAUCUCUCACUAUUCUAUUUUAAAUAGUGAGGAAUUCUAGCCCCCUCGAUCUCCUUCAUUCCAUUUACUCCCAAACGAGCCCUAAAAGGAUGCGAAGACUUGGUGUCAUAAACCCAUACACUUGCGUGCAAGUGUUGGCCUUGUCACCGAUUGCAUACUACUGGCCAACUGGUGUAAUAGCUCAAGACAGUCAAGAGUAAAAUAAAGUUGGUGAAAAUAUAGUUGGGUCUGAACCGCUGAAGACGUGCCUCCAUCUUGUGGUUUCGAUGAUGACGGCAAUGAUGAGUUGCAGGCCACAAUACGUGCUUCGAGAGAGGAGAAAUAACUUAAGAGGGCACGCACGUAUGAGACGAGUGGUGGCUCCUCCUAUGGGGGUGUUCGUGGCCUGUUUGGGAAUUGGGAGAAUAGUCUCUAGGAAGGAGGAGGCCACGCAUGAUACAAUCAAGGAUUGAUAAGAGCCUGUUUUCGAAGACAGGAACGAAUGUGGCCCAUUUCAUUGGUAAGCAAUGGGCUAAUUGGUUCUAUGCUAAUGCGAUUCCGAGGCAUAAA